GUCCCUGUAGAGCAAUGGAUAGCGCGUUGGACUUCUAAUCCAAAGGUCGUGGUUUCGAAUCCCACCGGGGAUG
rnacentral:tRNA from 1 species